CCAGUUGUUUGGUGUCUGGUCAGUGCAAACCUGGGCUGUGGGGCUUGAUCAGUGGAGACCUGGUCAGCUGGGGCUUAGUGCUGGUCUGGUCAGCAUGGGCUGGGGCACUGGUGACCAGGUCAAGGGGUGCUACUCAGUGCAGGACUGGGCACAUGGGACCUAGUCAGCAGACCCUGGUGGGCGUGUCCUCAUCAGUGAGGCCCUUGUCAGUGGGGCCCUGGUCAGGGCAGCCUUGUCGGCGGGACCUAAUCUGUAGUGUCCUGGUCAGAGAGGACUUGGUCCGUGGUGACUUUUGUAGCACCGGGCUACAGGGUGACCUGGUCAGCGGGAAUCUCAGCAUUUGGUGCCAGUUCAGUGGGGUCUACUCACUAGGGUCCCAGUCAGGGGCAUCUGGUGACAUAAGGCCUCAUUAUUAGGGGCCUGAUCAGUGGCAACCUGUUCCCUGGAGGCCUGGUCAGUGGGGCCUCAUCUUUGGGCCAGGGAAUGAGUUCAUGAUCAGUGGAACCUGAUCAGUGAGGCCUUGUCAAUAAUGACCUAGUCAGUGAGGACUUGUCAGUAAGGACUUGGUCCGUGAAGCCUUGUCAGUGAGGCCUUGUCAGUAAGGUCCUGGUCGGUGGAGUCCUUGUCAUUGUGUGCCUGGCAGUGGGGGCCUUGUGAGUGGGGCCUGGUCAUGAGGGUCUAAUCAGUGAGGGUGUCAUCAGGGAGGACCUGAUGUGCGGGGUCUGGUCAGCAGGGACCUGGUCAAUGUGGGCUGCUGAGCACUGCUUGGAUAAGCCAGGUGCAAUGUGCAUUAUUGAAGGCCCUGUGGACAGCUGGGAUAGCCCAGUGAUGCCCAAGGGCCUAGUCAAAAGUGGACAAAGCACGUAUUUGGAUGGACCUGGGAGAUCCUGCUCAGAGAUUCUGACAGGACAAAGGUAAAGGAAGGGCCAGAGUGGCUGGAGAGAUGGUCACAGUCUAUGGGCUGCACAGGAUGGAGGAGGCCAGGGAAAAGGCAGGGUGGGCAGUUGGGGUUCAGGGAGAGGCAGGUGCAUGCUGGGAGGUCAGACCCUGUGAAGGCUUUGGGGGCGUCAGGUUGGGUAGGCUCCAGGCACUCUCACUCACAUAGGAUUCCAGAACACUGCUACAAGGCUCUGAGUGUUUGUCCCUCACAUAGGAUUCCAGAACACUGCUGCCAUUGUCUGAAUGUUUGUCCUCCACAUAGGAUUCCAGAAGUCUGCUGCUGGGGUCUGAAUGUUUGUCCCCCAUCUAGGAUUCCAGAACACUGCUGUGAGGGUCUGAAUGUAUGUCCCUCACAUAUGAUUCUAGAAUAUUGAUGCUAGGGUCUGUAUGUUUGCCCUUAACAUAUGAUUUCAAAACACUGCUCCUGGAUUCUGAAUGUUUGUCCUUCUCAUAGGAAUACAGAACACUGCUGCUGGAGUCUGAAUGUUUGUCACUCACAUAGAAUUCCAGAACACUGCUGCGAGGAUCUGAAUGUUUGACCCUCAAAUGGGAUUCCAGAACACUGCUGCGAGGGUCUAAAUGUCUGUCCCUCACAUAGGUUUCCAGCACAAUGUUACGAGGUUCUGAAUGUUUGUCCCUAACAUAGGAUUCCAGAGCACUCCUGCUGUGCUCUGAAUGCUUCUCCCUCACAUAGGAUUCCAGAACACUGCUAUGAGGGUCUGAAUGCUUAUACCUCCUAUAGGAUUCCAGAACACUCCUGCUGUGCUCUGAAUGUUUGUUCCUCACAUAGGAUUCCAGAACACUCCUGCCGUGGUCUGAAUGUUUGUCCCUCACAUAGGAUUCCAGAACAUUCAUGCUGGGGUCUCAAUGUUUCCCUUAACAUAGGAUUUCAGAACACUGCUCUUGGGGUCUGAAUGUUUGUCCCUCACAUAGGAUUACAGAACACUGCUGCUGGAGUCUGAAUGUUUGUCAGUCACAUAGAAUUCCAGAACACUGCUAUGAGGGUGUGAAUAUUUUUCCCUCACCUAGUAUUCCAGAACACUGUUGCAAGGGUCUGCAUGUUGGUCCGUCAUAUAGGAUUCCAGAACACUGCUGCUGUGGUCUGAAUGUUUGUCCCUCACAUAAAAUUCUGGAACACUGCUACAAGGGUCUGAAUGUUUGUCCUUCACAUACCAUUCCAGAACACUGCUGCCGUGGUCUGAAUGUAUGUCCCUCACAUAGGAUUCCAGAACACUGCUACUAGGUUCUGAAUGUUUUUCCCACACCUAGGAUUCCAGAACACUUCUGCUGGUGUCUGAAUGGUUGUCCCUCACAUAUGAUUCCAGGACACUGCUAUGAGAGUCUUAAUGUUUGUCCUUCACAUAGAAUUCCAGAACACUGCUCCCGUGGUCUGAAUGUUUGUCCCUCACAUAGCAUUGCAGAACACUGCUACAAGGGUUUGAAAGUUUGUCCCUCACAUAGGAUUCCACAACACUACUGCUGGGGUCUGAAUGUUUGGCCCUCACAUAGGAUUCUAGAACACUCCAGCUGGCUUCUGAGUGUUUGUCCCUCACAUAGGAUUCCUGAAGACUGCUGCUGUCGCUAUAGUCGUUGAGAGUGUCUGAAUGUUUGACCUUCACCAAACACCAAAUAUCCUGGCCCUUUAGUCUUGUACUUUCCAGCCUCCAGGUCUGUGAACAAUAAUCUCUGUUGUUUAUGAAUUACUCAGUCUGAAGUAUUUUGUUAUAGUAGCCUAAAGAGACUAAGAGAGCAUCACCUGCCCUGUCACCUCAUCACCGCAUUACUGAAGCUAUACUAACAGCAGUCACUUUUAGUGGGUACUUCAUGCAUCAG
rnacentral:lncRNA from 1 species